rnacentral:rRNA from 1 species
GACGUAGGGCGCGAGCGUUGUCCGGAUUUAUUGGGCGUAAAGAGCUCGUAGGCGGCUUGUUGCGUCGUCCGUGAAAACCUGUGGCUCAACUACAGGCUUGCGGUCGAUACGGGCGGGCUGGAGUUCGGUAGGGGAGACUGGAAUUCCUGGUGUAGCGGUGAAAGUGCGCAGAUAUCAGGAGGAACACCGGUGGCGAAGGCGGGUCUCUGGGCCGAUACUGACGCUGAGGAGCGAAAGCGUGGGGAGCGAACAGG